rnacentral:tRNA from 1 species
CGCCUCGGUGGCCGGGCGGCCGUAGUAGCGGCCGAUGAUGUCGGUCAGGUAGCGCCGCACCAGCGCGGUGGCGAUCGCGCCGUCGUGCGGCAC